AGGAUCAUUAUCGAGUUUGAAAGGGGUUUGCAGCUGGCUCUCCGGAGCAUGUGCUCGCCCUGCUCAUCCACUCUACACCUGUGCACUUUAUGUGGGUUGGGAUUAAAACCCCCGAUCUACGUCUUUACACAAACAACAUGUAUCAGAAUGUAUACCGCGUCUAACGCAUUUAAUACAACUUUCAACAACGGAUCUCUUGGCUCUCGCAUCGAUGAAGAACGCAGCGAAAUGCGAUAAGUAAUGUGAAUUGCAGAAUUCAGUGAAUCAUCGAAUCUUUGAACGCACCUUGCGCUCCUUGGUAUUCCGAGGAGCAUGCCUGUUUGAGCGUCGUGAAUCUCUCAACCCACAAAUUGUUUGUUCAGUCUGUGCGGCUUGGAAUUGGAGGCAUUGCUGGCGACGGUCGGCUCCUCUCAAAUAAAUUAGCUGGGCUUAGCUCGGUGGAACGGUCGGUGUGAUAAUUAUCUGCGCCGUCACCUACUACACCGGAUCCCGCUUCUAAUCGUCCGUAUGGACAAUUCACCUUGAAUCUGACCUCAAAUCAGGUAGGACUACCCGCUGAACUUAAGCAUAUCAAUAAGCGGAGGAAAAGAAACUAACAAGGAUUCCCCUAGUAACUGCGAGUGAAGCGGGAAAAGCUCAAAUUUAAAAUCUGGCGGUCUUUGGCCGUCCGAG
rnacentral:rRNA from 1 species